CAGUCGCCGCGGGAAUACAGAGGGUGCGAGCGUUAAUCGGAAUUACUGGGCGUAAAGCGUGCGUAGGCGGUUUGUUAAGUCUGCUGUGAAAUCCCCGGGCUCAACCUGGGAAUGGCAGUGGAUACUGGCAAGCUAGAGUGUGUCAGAGGAUGGUGGAAUUCCCGGUGUAGCGGUGAAAUGCGUAGAGAUCGGGAGGAACAUCAGUGGCGAAGGCGGCCAUCUGGGACAACACUGACGCUGAGGCACGAAAGCGUGGGGAGCAAACAGGAUUAGAUACCCGCGUAGUCCCUGUCUCUUAUAC
rnacentral:rRNA from 1 species